GGGAGGGGAUGUAGCUCAGUGGAAGAGUGCGUGCCGAGCAUGCAGAAGGUCCUGGGUUCCAUCCCCAGCACC
rnacentral:miRNA from 1 species